AAUGCAACCAGGAGGAGAAGCGGUGAGGGCCGCGAUGAAGGAGGAUGAAUCCAGCAGUCCGUCCCAGCAAGCACACCUGAGCGCAGGAGGAGACCUCAUACAAAGCCAGAAUGUGUUUUGGCUUGCCACAAUUUUUAACCAUAUUAAGUCCUAUUCAGAGUUAAUGAUGAGCUCAGUGAGACUGGUGUAAUCAGCACUGAAGAAGGGAAGGACACAGAUGGAAGGAUAACUGGCGUGUAGGAAGAAUGGAUCUCUUCUGUCUUCUGUGAUUCCUGACCCACCUAAUUGCGUGAUUGUCAUGAGCAAUAACAACCUGGCUCAGGGGAGCGGCGCUGGGGAAAGAUGCUGACGUAUUCAGUAUGGCACGCUGCUGCUCCGUCCCGGAAUGGCUUCAUGUGGUUAUUGCCCCUGCUAGGCAAGCAUGCUGAAGUGUUUUGCUUAGCACACCCAGAUUUAAUUCAGCCCAAGAUGAUCAUGUUAUCAAAUCCUGGUUACCUGGGAGCCCGGGUCAUUUUGACAGAAGGGCAGGGAGUGUGCAGGCCAGCUGCAUGGAUGGCACGUCUGGGAAAGUGGCGUGUUAUCAGGAGGGAUGGACUGCAUAGUUUGCCAAUGCAAGUGGAGAGAGAGAGGGUGAAUUCGGGCUGGCUCCAGGUUUGA
rnacentral:lncRNA from 1 species